rnacentral:tRNA from 1 species
CGCAGGGUGGAGGAGUCCGGUCGUCCUCACCAGUCUCAUAAGCUGGAGAUCACGGGUUCGAAUCCCGUCCCUGCUUCCA